ensembl:snRNA U4 U4 spliceosomal RNA
AACUUUGUGCAGUGGCAGUAUUGUAGCCAAUGAGGUUUAUCCAAAGUGUGAUUACUGCUAAUUGAAAAAGUCUGAUAUAUAAGAUCAAUAGCAUGUUGAUACAAAUAUUUAAGAGCAAGAGCCAUUU